rnacentral:rRNA from 1 species
ACGCUCGACACCUACGGGAGCAGCAGUGAGGAAUAUUGGUCAAUGGGCGCUAGCCUGAACCAGCCAAGUAGCGUGAAGGAUGAAGGCUCUAUGGGUCGUAAACUUCUUUUAUAUAAGAAUAAAGUGCAGUAUGUAUACUGUUUUGUAUGUAUUAUAUGAAUAAGGAUCGGCUAACUCCGUGCCAGCAGCCGCGGUAAUCUGAGCGGGCUGGCAAGGC